GCCAGUGUAGCUUAAAUAAAGCAUGACACUGAAAAUGUCAAGAUG
rnacentral:tRNA from 1 species